rnacentral:misc_RNA from 1 species
UAGCUCCUCAUCCCUCCCCCUUUUCUCACUAAAUCCUCCAUGGCUACUUAAUUUCAAGCUUUUAAAGCUUGAAUCAACCCCAUAAAUCCCACAAAUUUCUUAUGUAAAUCUUAUUGUUGGAUCUUGACAAGCUUAUUGAGAACAAGAAGAAAGAAGAAAUUAGAAGAAUUGGAGCUUUUGGAAAAACUUCAAUUGAAGUAAGUUGAUCCAACCUUUUCUUUAAGUAAAAAUGUUUGAAUUAGAGUAGAAAUGGAUAGAAUAACAUGAAAAAUUGAGAAAAUUAUGUAUGAGAACAAAGAUGUAAAUUUCAGCCAGCCAUGGGAUUGUGAAG